GAUGAACGCUGGCGGCGUGCCUAAUACAUGCAAGUCGAGCGAACAGACGAGGGGCUUGCUCCUCUGACGUUAGCGGCGGACGGGUGAGUAACACGUGGAUAACCUACCUAUAAGACUGGGAUAACUUCGGGAAACCGGAGCUAAUACCGGAUAAUAUAUUGAACCGCAUGGUUCAAUAGUGAAAGACGGUUUUGCUGUCACUUAUAGAUGGAUCCGCGCCGCAUUAGCUAGUUGGUAAGGUAACGGCUUACCAAGGCAACGAUGCGUAGCCGACCUGAGAGGGUGAUCGGCCACACUGGAACUGAGACACGGUCCAGACUCCUACGGGGGGCAGCAGUAGGGAAUCUUCCGCAAUGGGCGAAAGCCUGACGGAGCAACGCCGCGUGAGUGAUGAAGGUCUUCGGAUCGUAAAACUCUGUUAUUAGGGAAGAACAAAUGUGUAAGUAACUAUGCACGUCUUGACGGUACCUAAUCAGAAAGCCACGGCUAACUACGG
rnacentral:rRNA from 1 species